rnacentral:misc_RNA from 1 species
GAAAUGCGAUAAGUAAUGUGAAUUGCAGAAUUCAGUGAAUCAUCGAAUCUUUGAACGCACCUUGCGCUCCUUGGUAUUCCGAGGAGCAUGCCUGUUUGAGUGUCGUGUAAUUCUCAACUCAUAAUGUUCUUGCGAGCAUUGUGCAGUUGGAUGUGGAGGCUUUGCUGGCUUUAAUCAGUCGGCUCCUCUUAAAUGCAUUAGCUUGAUUCCUUGCGGAUCGGCUUCGGUGUGAUAAUUGUCUACGCCGUGACCGUGAAGCGUUUGGCGAGCUUAUAGCCGUCUCAUUAGAGACAACACUUUGACAUCUGACCUCAAAUCAGGUAGGAUUACCCGCUGAACUUAA